UGGGAUGGGGCCUGUCGGGGAAGACCGCGGGUCAGACCGCUUAGCCACCCCGGGAGACCCUUCGCUCCAGGCUGCGUGGUCCGCAUCGCCAACCAAGGGCGUGGAGAGCACCACCCAGAAGGGGUGGAUGAAGCGGCCUCGGGACAGCCGACUCUGCACGCCAGGUCAGGCCAGAGGCUCGCCCAGCCAGGAGAAGAGAGGAGAGCCCCAUCUAGAUGCUGCGGAAUUCGGGACCCUGAACAUGGCGACCGUGAGAUCCAGUUACUGGAUGAGUCCUGCAGAGGGUCUCCUAGGGUGCAAGGGAAGCAGCUUGGAAACUUUUUGGCCCCUUUACAACAAACAUGCUUUACCCCCCGGUCGUGACACAUCCGUGACACUUGCCUGUUCUUUCUUUGUUCUGUGGUAUAACCUGACCUAUCCUGAGAUCAGAGAACUGCAAGAAAACACCUGGCUGAGGAUAAAGCAGCCAAAGAGAGGACAUUUCCUGUGAACCCUGGAAUUAUAAUGAAGGCAGGGGUGAUCCGAGUGGAAUGUCGGUGCAAUGCCCUCCAUCAGCAAAGGUCUCAAGGACAGAGUUUAAGAGAAAGCAAAGCAUUUCCCACCAACUCCUUACCUGAGAGCGUCUUCGUGAGAAUUCAUGGCACACAUGUCUCAGGACAGAGUAGAUGCUGCCUUCUUUACCUUUUCCCUCCUCAAGAAGCAGGAGCCAAUGCCAAGAGGUCAGGGCUCAUGUCUCCGUACUUCUCACGCCUCUUGUUGUCCCAAUUCUCACUCGAGUCGUAAAACUGGGAGUCAAGCAACCAGUUGUGACAAGAUGAACCCAGGAAGUACUCCUCGGCUGGGAUGCCUUCAAAGACCGAUUAUCCGAGUCCUAAGACCAGCUGAUGACCUGGGAAACUAAG
rnacentral:lncRNA from 1 species